rnacentral:tRNA from 2 species
GGCAGGGUAGCUCAGAUGGUGAGAGCGCACGACUCAUAAUCGUGAGGUCGCGGGUUCGAUCCCCGCUCCUGCUA